rnacentral:rRNA from 1 species
CUGUACAGUUCAGAGUUUGAUCCUGGCUCAGGAUUAACGCUGGCGGCGUGCCUAACACAUGCAAGUCGAGCGAGGAAUAGUGAAGAGAUUCUUCGGAUGAACAGAUCUAUGGACAGCGGCGGACGGGUGAGUAACGCGUGGGCAACCUGCCCCUUUCCGGAGGAUAGCCAAGGGAAACUUUGAAUAAUACUCCAUAAAGCAGAGAUGUCGCAUGGCAAUUCUGCCAAAGAUUUAUCGGAGAGGGAUGGGCCCGCGUCUGAUUAGCCAGUUGGUGAGGCAGCGGCUCACCAAAGCGACGAUCGGUAGCCGGCCUGAGAGGGUGAACGGCCACAUUGGAACUGAGACACGGUCCAG